UGGAUCCGCGCCGUUUUGUUUGAGGUAGUCUUGAUACGCUGAAUACGCCACCCUGACUCCAAUACUGUCAGCCAAGUUCUCAUCAACGCAUCUACUUCCAUUGAUCUAGAAUCAUCAAUAUUAAUUGAGUCAUUGAUGAAUAUCUUGGUGUUUCAAAAAAAGCCGGCUUAUACCUUAACUCCGAGUUUUUCUGCAGCAAGAUUACAUUUUUCAAUGAAGCAUUUAAUUUUUUCUAGAUAACGAUUUUGGGUGUCAAAAGCGUGCCCCAUUUCAUGGCCGAUUAAUGUUCCAGCUCGCCCGUAGUUUAUGUAAUUAGGACGGUCGAUAUUGAAGAAGAAACCUUGAAGUAUGCUUGGUGAUAUUUCUGUAAUUUCAAGUUUUGGAAUAUUUACCGGCAUUCCAUAACCUGCGCACAGCUUAGCGAGGUUACUCCCAAUAAUUGGGUUGGUUAAUAGCGACAAAAUGGCGAGAAUUUUAAUUAUUGUUAAAGAUACCAUCUUUGAUAAUUAUUGUUUGAAGACUAUUUUUGAGAUAAAUUUGUUCAAGUUCUUACUGCAAGAAGGACUGACAUGUAUCCAGCAGAUGUUUUUAUCAACUAAAUAAUUACAAUCAUUUAUAAUUAAAUUAUAUUUACUUAUAAUUAAGGAUUUUGAUUAGAUUUUUAACUUACCUUAGCA